UCUAGCAGGAGUGGUCUUGCCACGAAAUACAGUUUGUAGUUGCAAAGAACUUUAUUCAAAAAAACACUCCUGUGUCUCACAGCGACUU
ensembl:ncRNA C01F6.15 ncRNA